rnacentral:rRNA from 1 species
AAUAUUGCGCAAUGGGCGAAAGCCUGACGCAGCAACGCCGCGUGGAGGAUGAAGGCUCUUGGGUUGUAAACUCCUUUCAGCAGGGAAGAAAUUGACGGUACCUGCAGAAGAAGCCCCGGCCAACUACGUGCCAGCAGCCGCGGUAAGACGUAGGGGGCAAGCGUUGUCCGGAUUUAUUGGGCGUAAAGAGCUCGUAGGCGGCUGAGCAAGUCAGAUGUGAAACCCUCGGGCUUAACCCGAGGCCGCCAUCUGAUACUGCUCUAGCUAGAGUUCGGUAGGGGACCAUGGAAUUCCUGGAGUAGCGGUGAAAUGCGCAGAUCUCAGGAGGAACACCAGCGGCGAAGGCGGUGGUCUAGGCCGAUACUGACGCUGAGGAGCGAAAGCGUGGGGAGCGA